rnacentral:snoRNA from 1 species
CUUCGAUGAAGAGAUGAUGACGAGUCUGACUUGGAAGCCUUAAUCCUUUGCCCAUGAGGCCCUUCUCUGUGCUGCGUUCUGUGGCACAGGUUAGAGUCCUGGUCGAAGAAACUUCCUAAAGAUGACCUAGAGGCAUUUGUCUGAGAAGG